AACAUUGUAUCUAGUGAUCACAUCACUCGACAGUUGAAUACUUAAUCACUUAUCCUGGUGCAACUAAAUUCUAACAUUUUCCAAAAAAAGAGUGGAAAAAGCCCUUCGAACAAAGAAACCCCUCCAUAACAAGGGCAACACUGGGCAAAGCUUCUCGACCUAUCGACACCAGCCAGCCAAUACAUUAUCCGCAAAUAUUAUUGAAAAAUGGUGUAACCCAUCAAUCACACACGCCCCCGGUUGUAUCGAAACGGGCCAGCGUUUUUUUUGUUUUUUUUUUUUCGUAAACGUUUUGCCCACCGGUUUGCCUGGGCCUGUUAGGAAAAGUUGAAGUUGGAAAGCAUUCUCGCUGUGCUAACCGUUCAACAUGCCAGCCAUGCCGGGGAGGCCGUACGCAAACUCGCCUUGCCUGGUUCGCUCUACGCACGUCGCAGCGCAGUGGUAUCCCUUUGGCUCGGCUCCUGGCCCUCCCCGCCAAGGACUACUACUCCAAAGCCUGCCACCGAACUUCACCCGAACGGAAGACACUCUUGUUAUUUAUCAAUGAAACUACGGACUCCCGCUCUCGGCGAUGCGCUCUCUCGCUCACGCGCAAACACAUACGCACGUAUCCGGCUGCUAUCGCCGCGUGUGUUGCUGUUGUUACCCGGCCGGCCCCCGUUUGGUGCCUGUAUCGGUGUGGUUGUGAGACAGGAAAUUGUGUACGAAAAGCCGUUGCCGGGGGCCCGGUGCGCACGGGACGCCUGUGUAGGCGUUUACAUAGGCGCAGAAGACUCCACGGAAGGCUGGAAAUAGCAACCGACCCGGCAUCAUCAAUAGCGCCUGGGAAGCAGCUCUCCGAAGCUCGAUGAUACAGCACGAUACCACACCGCGUGCGAGGUUGCGAAUUUGCGUAAUGGAACAUUACACUGCCCAUUCUUUCAAGGCCAAUGAGCAUCAAUGAAAGCUGCUCGGCGAAAUGUCACCCUCUCCGGCGAAAUGUAAAGACGAGCGUAAUGAUCGAAUUAAACCCGUUGAAGGAAACCAUUUUUUGAAAAGAAAGGGAAAACAAUAUUUUAGUGCAAAAUCGCCCAACAAAACGAUACGUUGAAGCAACAUAAGAAACUGAAACAGUCGCGCGAAUUAACAGCGUUCCCUCAUUAGUGGCUGUUGUUGCGGAGAAGGCAACAGGAAACAAAGCGCCACUCGCAGCCGGAAAUUCCAUUUAAUAUUGAAACGCAUCAACCUCCCUCCCAAUAGGAAAACUAGAUACAGAGAAAGAGAGAAAGCGAUAGAGCAAGCAUGGUGGGGAAUGGUCACGAGAGCGAACGAAAUGGCAGGACCGCUACGCUACGCGGCAGCAUGCCCAACUCAUUCAAUCAACGCACAAAUAGUGUCCUUGAUCUUCAAAAAGCUGAAUUGCACGCGUGUGCACUCCGUUGCUGAAACGGUCCUUGUGUGUAUGUGUGUGGUGUGCGCUCUCUUUCUCGUACUGGCCGGCGGGAAGAGGGUCGCUCCCAGACCGGUCUCGCCUUAGCACGCGCGCACGAGCAUUGGCACGAGUGGGCGAUAUAUUCUAUCGCCUAGUCUGGAUGUAUGGGUGUGUUGUGCAUCGUGCACUGAGUGCAAUCGCGUGGCGAGAAGAAGGACCUAUAAUACUACGGCACCGUUUUGGAGAGCGAUUUGCCGAGCAAACAAGUUCCUGCUUCCUUUUUUUUUCGCUCCCCCAAAGCGCGUUGGAAGAGUUGGGGCAUUGGAUGUGAAUUCACCUGCCUACUACUAACGCCAUUACUACUACUACUACUACUACUGGAUGCUUUUUUUUUUGGUAUGAAACACACCGUACCCCCAUCACCCCGAAGCAAGGGGUUUUGCUAAUCGAUUCUUGGGGUUUCCUGCCAUUUCAUGCGCACACCGGUGCACGCUUGCCGGCUGAGAGACGAUGGUUGGUUAGAGCGAGCGACAGUGGCGCAGGGCAUAGAGGAAAAAAAGCAGUGGAUGUAUGUGUGCCUUUCCGUAGUAAUACGGUUUGUUUGAUGCACACACAACCACUACAACAACUAACUACCACCAGUACCACAACCACCCCCCGAAAAGGACCGGAAGCACCGUUGCGCCGCGUGUACGCAUGCAUACCAUUAGCACAGUUAUCCUUGAAAUCAUCACCCCUCCCCCCUAUUGGCCACGCUGGCGUAAUGUGCAAUGCCGGGACGUGUGUGUGUGUGUUUGUAAAGAGGCUAUAUAAAUCAUUCUACAUCAUAUCCCCCUCGUGCACUAGGGGUUGAAUGUUGUUUGAGCAUAUUUUUAGAACGAUUACCCUUUUUAAUGAUCCAGAAUGAAAUGGCGUUUGGCGGUGUGCGGAGUGUCCUGCGGGAUAUGGGAUAUAUACAUUAUUUCUUGUUCCGUUCCCUCUAUCGCUCCCCUGCUAUGAAUAAUUACGCUAAUCUCGCUAGAUA